GAUGAACGCUAGCGGCAGGCCUAAUACAUGCAAGUCGAGCGGCAAGUUGAGAAGCAAUUCGAGACCUAGAGCGGCGUACGGGUGCGUAACGCGUAUGCAACCUACCUCAUACAGGGGGAUAGCCCGGAGAAAUCUGGAUUAAUACCCCAUAGUACAUAUAGAGGGCAUCUGAAAUAUGUUAAAGAUUCAUCGGUAUGCGAUGGGCAGGCGUCUGAUUAGCUAGUUGGCGGUGUAACGGACCACAAAGGCGACGAUCAGUAGGGGUUCUGAGAGGAAGGUCCCCCACACUGGCACUGAGAUACGGGCCAGACUCCUACGGGAGGCAGCAGUAGGGAAUAUUGGGCAAUGGUCGGAAGACUGACCCAGCCAUGCCGCGUGCAGGAAGAAGGCCCUCUGGGUUGUAAACUGCUUUUAUCUGGGAAGAAAAGGCCCGUGCGCGGGACAUUGCCGGUACCAGAUGAAUAAGCACCGGCUAACCCCGUGCCAGCAGCCGCCGUAAAAC
rnacentral:rRNA from 1 species